rnacentral:tRNA from 1 species
GGUCCGGUGAGCUCAGUGGUUUGAGCGUGAUGCUGGCAACAACGACGAUACCGAGGUCGCUGGUUCGAUUCCUGCUUGGUCCC